GCUGGGCACAGUGGUGCAUGCCUGUAAUCCCAUCAACCAAGAGGCUGAGGUAGGAGGAUUGUGAGUUCAAAACCAGCCUCAG
rnacentral:sRNA from 1 species